AUUGAACGCUGGCGGCGUGCUUAACACAUGCAAGUCGAACGAGAACGGAUUAUAGCUUGCUAUAAUUGUCAGCUAAGUGGCGCACGGGUGAGUAAUGUAUAGGUAAUAUGCCUCUUACUAAGGGAUAACAAAUGGAAACGUUUGCUAAUACCUUAUACUCCUUAUUAACAGAAGUUAAUAAGGGAAAGAUUUAUUGGUAAGAGAUUAGCCUGUAUUGUAUCAGUUAGUUGGUGGGGUAAUGGCUUACCAAGACUAUGACACAUAACUGGUUUGAGAGUAUGAUCAGUCACACUGGAACUGAGACACGGUCCAGACUCCUACGGGAGGCAGCAGUGGGGAAUAUUGCACAAUGGACGAAAGUCUGAUGCAGCAACGCCGCGUGGAGGAUGACACAUUUCGGUGCGUAAACUCCUUUUAUAUGAGAAGAUAAUGACGGUAUUAUAUGAAUAAGCACCGGCUAACUCCGUGCCAGCCGCCGCCGUAACAC
rnacentral:rRNA from 1 species